UACGUAGGGGGCAAGCGUUGUCCGGAAUCAUUGGGCGUAAAGCGCGUGUAGGCGGCCCGAUAAGUCCGCUGUGAAAGUCCAGGGCUCAACCCUGGAAUGCCGGUGGAUACUGUCGGGCUCGAGUCCGGAAGAGGCGAGUGGAAUUCCUGGUGUAGCGGUGAAAUGCGCAGAUAUCAGGAGGAACACCAGUGGCGAAGGCGGCUCACUGGACCGGUUCUGACGCUGAGGCGCGAAAGCGUGGGGAGCAAACGGG
rnacentral:rRNA from 1 species